AUUAGCCAUGCAUGUCUCAGUACAAGCCAAAUUAAGGUGAAACCGCGAAAGGCUCAUUAAAUCAGUUAUGGUUCCUUAGAUCGUACACAUAUUUACUUGGAUAACUGUGGUAAUUCUAGAGCUAAUACAUGCAAACAGAGCCCCGACCGGAAACGGAAGGGUGCGCUUUUAUUUGAUCAAAACCAUUCGGUGGCGGGUUCGCCCGUCAUCGUACACCUUGGUGAAUCUGAAUAACUUUAUGCUGAUCGCACGGUCUCGUACCGGCGACGCUUCUUUCAAAUGUCUGACUUAUCAACUGUCGAUGGUAGGUUCUGCGCCUACGAUGGUUGUAACGGGUAACGGGGAAUCAGGGUUCGAUUCCGGAGAGGGAGCCUGAGAAACGGCUACCACAUCCAAGGAAGGCAGCAGGCGCGCAAAUUACCCACUCCCGGCACGGGGAGGUAGUGACGAAAAAUAACGAUACGGGACUCAUCCGAGGCCCCGUAAUCGGAAUGAGUACAUUCUAAACCCUUUAACGAGAAUCAAUUGGAGGGCAAGUCUGGUGCCAGCAGCCGCGGUAAUUCCAGCUCCAAUAGCGUAUAUUAAAGUUGUUGCGGUUAAAAAGCUCGUAGUCGAAAUUGUGUCUCGCGCCGCCGGUUCAUCGUUCGCGGUGCCAACUGGCGUGUCGCGAGACGUCCUGCCGGCGGACUUAGCUCGCAAGAGCGGUCCAACAUAAUCCCGCCGCGGUGCUCUUUAUUGAGUGUCGAGGUGGGCCGGCACGUUUACUUUGAACAAAUUAGAGUGCUUAAAGCAGGCUCAAACUUCGCUUGAAUAUUGCGUGCAUGGAAUAAUGAAAGAGGACCUCGGUUCUAUUUUGUUGGUUUUCAGAACCACGAGGUAAUGAUUAACAGGAACGGAUGGGGGCAUUCGUAUUGCGACGUUAGAGGUGAAAUUCUUGGAUCGUCGCAAGACGGACAGAAGCGAAAGCAUUUGCCAAAAACGUUUUCAUUGAUCAAGAACGAAAGUUAGAGG
rnacentral:rRNA from 1 species